GGAGCGGUAGUUCAGUUGGCUAGAACGCUACCCUGUCACGGUAGAGGCCACGGGUUCAAGUCCCGUCCGCUCCGCCA
rnacentral:tRNA from 1 species